rnacentral:rRNA from 1 species
GACGAACGCUGGCGGCGUGCCUAAUACAUGCAAGUCGAACGAACUCUGGUAUUGAUUGGUGCUUGCAUCAUGAUUUACAUUUGAGUGAGUGGCGAACUGGUGAGUAACACGUGGGAAACCUGCCCAGAAGCGGGGGAUAACACCUGGAAACAGAUGCUAAUACCGCAUAACAACUUGGACCGCAUGGUCCGAGCUUGAAAGAUGGCUUCGGCUAUCACUUUUGGAUGGUCCCGCGGCGUAUUAGCUAGAUGGUGGGGUAACGGCUCACCAUGGCAAUGAUACGUAGCCGACCUGAGAGGGUAAUCGGCCACAUUGGGACUGAGACACGGCCCAAACUCCUACGGGAGGCAGCAGUAGGGAAUCUUCCACAAUGGACGAAAGUCUGAUGGAGCAACGCCGCGUGAGUGAAGAAGGGUUUCGGCUCGUAAAACUCUGUUGUUAAAGAAGAACAUAUCUGAGAGUAACUGUUCAGGUAUUGACGGUAUUUAACCAGAAAGCCACGGCUAACUACGUGCCAGCAGCCGCGGUAAUACGUAGGUGGCAAGCGUUGUCCGGAUUUAUUGGGCGUAAAGCGAGCGCAGGCGGUUUUUUAAGUCUGAUGUGAAAGCCUUCGGCUCAACCGAAGAAGUGCAUCGGAAACUGGGAAACUUGAGUGCAGAAGAGGACAGUGGAACUCCAUGUGUAGCGGUGAAAUGCGUAGAUAUAUGGAAGAACACCAGUGGCGAAGGCGGCUGUCUGGUCUGUAACUGACGCUGAGGCUCGAAAGUAUGGGUAGCAAACAGGAUUAGAUACCCUGGUAGUCCAUACCGUAAACGAUGAAUGCUAAGUGUUGGAGGGUUUCCGCCCUUCAGUGCUGCAGCUAACGCAUUAAGCAUUCCGCCUGGGGAGUACGGCCGCAAGGCUGAAACUCAAAGGAAUUGACGGGGGCCCGCACAAGCGGUGGAGCAUGUGGUUUAAUUCGAAGCUACGCGAAGAACCUUACCAGGUCUUGACAUACUAUGCAAAUCUAAGAGAUUAGACGUUCCCUUCGGGGACAUGGAUACAGGUGGUGCAUGGUUGUCGUCAGCUCGUGUCGUGAGAUGUUGGGUUAAGUCCCGCAACGAGCGCAACCCUUAUUAUCAGUUGCCAGCAUUAAGUUGGGCACUCUGGUGAGACUGCCGGUAACAAACCGGAGGAAGGUGGGGAUGACGUCAAAUCAUCAUGCCCCUUAUGACCUGGGCUACACACGUGCUACAAUGGAUGGUACAACGAGUUGCGAGCUCGCGAGAGUAAGCUAAUCUCUUAAAGCCAUUCUCAGUUCGGAUUGUAGGCUGCAACUCGCCUACAUGAAGUCGGAAUCGCUAGUAAUCGCGGAUCAGCAUGCCGCGGUGAAUACGUUCCCGGGCCUUGUACACGCCGCCCGUCACACCAUGAGAGUUUGUAACACCCAAAGUCGGUGGGGUAACCUUUUAGGAACCAGCCGCCUAAGGUGGGACAGAUGAUUAGGGUG